UGGUUGUGUGAUGAUAUGGUAUGAUGCUUCAGUUCUGAAUUUCAGUGUGAUGUGAGACUUCUCAACAUACACUUGGGAUAGUGCAGAGUUAUAUAUUUUGGUUUGAUAGAGAUUUCACAAUGGGAAACAGAUGUUCCUCUAAAGGUCUUCCCAUUGACUUCCAGAAAAAGGCCUCAGAAGGUGAGGAGGCAAAGUCACCUAAGGACACGAGCUACACCUGAGCCCGGCCUGAUAUCCCAAGGCUGUUAAUGGCACCAAGGAAGAAAAGAACUUGUCUGGUGUGGAGACUAAAUUUUAAGAAAAAAUUGCUGCGACACAAUGCUGUCGUUUCAGUAGAACAGCAAAAUGAAGAACUCUGAAGCACUUUUUUGAAGGUCAAGCCUGAAGCCCUUAGUAUGUAAUAAGUGGUACUAAGAGCCGAGAGUUAAUUGUGUUCUCUUGGUGUUGCCUGAAAACCAGAUGAAGACCUUACAAGAAGGCAAAGUCAUCACUCACUAAGGUUUUGCUGUUUUCAUGAAAACAUGUGUGGUUUUUAUUCGAAAGGUGGCAGGAACAUUUUAGAUAAAAAAAAACUUUGUAUUUUUCUAUGUCCUGUCAUUUUUCCUCUGGGAUCAUUUUAGUUGUUAAGACAGAUGGAAUAUGAUCCCCAAAUGUUAAUGUGGUAGAAGCUGCCACAACCAACAAAGGGGCACUAAGGUAGUGAACCUUUAAAGCAAGAAGCUUAGGGUAAAUAAUUAGAACUCAGGAGCAUCUCUUAGGAGGGAUUUAUCUCACAAGAGCAGACUGAUAGAAAGUUCCUCCACCAAGUUUUAAUAUAACUUUGGGGAAACACUUAGUAUAGGUCAAAGAGAUAGAGUUGUAUUGUUAUGGUGUCCUCUUAGAUCUAAUAUAAUUCAAACACCAGGUCAAUGCAGAUGAUAGAAACUUAGUGGAGUCAAGCAGCUACUGACAAACCAGGGCCACAGAACAGGCUCUGGAGCUGAACUGAGACCCCAAGCUAGAAUGUUACAGAGCUUAUAUGCUUGAAACCCACAAACAUCUGUGGUAACUUAGUUACCUUUUCCCACCAAUCAGGAUUGAGGGAGGGAUAAGGGCUUUUUAAGGUUGAUCUACGUCAACCUGCACGGGGUGUAGGUUUUACAGUUCAACUAAUCAAAUCCAUUUGUUCUUUCGUGGUUCGGAACAGCCAUUCUGCCUUGGGGAACAAAUGUCCAGUUGGGAAAAUGAAGAUCCUGAUGCUGAAGGAGUGCAAUGGCUACAGAGAGAUUGGUGAGACAUGCUGAUGCUGGGACAAAAAAUGAUGCUGACCGUGAUCUUGCUGAGUGCCCUGACAAUGGCAGUGGGAAAGCUGUAUUGGGCGUGUGUUCCUGACCCACCCUUGCUACAUCCUUCUGUAUGGUCAAG
rnacentral:lncRNA from 1 species